GUCUACAGUCAUGCCACCCUGAACAAGCCUGAUCCCAUCUGAUCUUGAAAGCUAAGCAAGGUUGGGCCUAGCUAGUACUUGGAUGGGAGACCACCUAGGAAGACCAGAUUCUGUAGGCA
rnacentral:rRNA from 1 species